rnacentral:rRNA from 1 species
UACGAAGGGGGGCUAGCGUUGCUCGGAAUCACUGGGCGUAAAGCGCACGUAGGCGGAUUGUUAAGUCGGGGGUGAAAUCCUGGAGCUCAACUCCAGAACUGCCUUCGAUACUGGCGAUCUUGAGUCCGGGAGAGGUGAGUGGAACUCCGAGUGUAGAGGUGAAAUUCGUAGAUAUUCGCAAGAACACCAGUGGCGAAGGCGGCUCACUGGCCCGGUACUGACGCUGAGGUGCGAAAGCGUGGGGAGCAAACAGG